CAGCAGCCACGGGAAUACGGAGGGAGCUAGCGUUGUUCGGAAUUACUGGGCGUAAAGCGCGCGUAGGCGGUUACUCAAGUCAGAGGUGAAAGCCCGGGGCUCAACCCCGGAACUGCCUUUGAAACUAGGUGACUAGAAUCUUGGAGAGGUCAGUGGAAUUCCGAGUGUAGAGGUGAAAUUCGUAGAUAUUCGGAAGAACACCAGUGGCGAAGGCGACUGACUGGACAAGUAUUGACGCUGAGGCACGAAAGCGUGGGGAUCAAACAGGAUUAGAUACCCCAGUAGUCCCUGUCUCUUAUAC
rnacentral:rRNA from 1 species